rnacentral:rRNA from 1 species
UACGUAGGUGGCAAGCGUUAUCCGGAUUUACUGGGUGUAAAGGGAGCGUAGACGGCGCUGCAAGUCCGGAGUGAAAGCCCAUGGCUUAACCAUGGUACUGCUCUGGAAACUGUGGAGCUUGAGUGCGGGAGGGGCAGGCGGAAUUCCUAGUGUAGCGGUGAAAUGCGUAGAUAUUAGGAGGAACACCGGCGGCGAAGGCGGCCUGCUGGACCGUAACUGACGUUGAGGCUCGAAAGCGUGGGGAGCAAACAGG